GUCGAAACCUACGGGCCAGGCCUCUCGCAUAGCAAGAGUAUUGAUACAUAAUGAAUUGAAUAACAACUAUGGCUUCAGCGAAAGUGAAACACUACAUCUUAUGAUCACUCCACUGUCCCCUAACAGCACACAUUCUAUGCCAAGAGAAAGGUAAUGGGCAGCUACGGGUAUAAGGAGGUGAAAGAAGAAUAAGGAAUGUUCACAUUUGUAUAAGC
rnacentral:sRNA from 1 species